rnacentral:misc_RNA from 1 species
GCACACAAUAUAAAAGGAUAGAAACAAGAUGUGCUUCUUUGGAUUUGUGAUACAUGACAACUACCAAAUUCCAUCAAAAAAGCUAAAAGCUAAAACCCCAAAAAGCCUAUAAGCAUAUAGAGAAAUGCUCAAUUGCUCAUAUAGAUCCCCAGCAACCGCCUAGUGCUCAUAGGGCUCCACCUCUUCCUCACAUUCCGACCAAUGAUCCUUGCACGCGAGAAUCUCUUAUUUAUUUAUUUAUUUAUU